CGCAGGCGUAGGAAAUUUGAGAAGACCUGUCCUUAGUACGAGAGGACCGGGAUGGACGUACCUCUGGUGUACCAGUUGUUCUGCCAAGGGCAUGGCUGGGGAGCUAUGUACGGAAUGGAUAAGCGCUGAAAGCAUCUAAGCGCGAAGCCAACUUCAAGAUAAGAUUUCCCACCGCAAGGGUAAGACCCCAGAAAGACUAUCUGGUUGAUAGGUCGAAGGUGUAAGUGCAGCAAUGUAUUUAGCUUAUCGAUACUAAUAGGUCGAGGACUUGACCAAU
rnacentral:rRNA from 1 species